UACAGAGGGUGCAAACGUUGCUCGGAAUUACUGGGCGUAAAGCGCGUGUAGGCGGCUAUGCAAGUCGGGCGUGAAAUCCCACGGCUCAACCGUGGAAGUGCACUCGAAACUGCGUAGCUAGAGUCUCGGAGAGGAAGGUGGAAUACUUGGUGUAGAGGUGAAAUUCGUAGAUAUCAAGUGGAACACCGGUGGCGAAGGCGGCCUUCUGGACGAUGACUGACGCUGAGACGCGAAAGCGUGGGGAGCAAACAGG
rnacentral:rRNA from 1 species